rnacentral:lncRNA from 1 species
GCACUUAAUAAUGUUUGUGGAAUAAUUGUUCCAGGAUAAGCUGGAUGUAACUCAACUGAACUUUAUGUCCCUUGAAGCCAAGGAUCUUGUCUUAUCUUUCUUUUAUAUGCCAACCUCCAAACCGCACCUGCGCCCCUUGUUGGUGUCCAGCAAAGUGCUGGGGGCAGUGGCUUAGUAAUGCUCAAUGUUGGAGAGUGCUUCUAAGGAGGGGCUUGGAGAAAGACUAAGAUGUCAGAUGGGAACAGAAUAUACUAUUUUGCUGCAGCUCCCCUUCGAGAAGAACUGUGGGCAAGAUGGCCUCUGUGAAGGGGACCUGGGUGUCACCCUCAGCUUCUCAGGGUGAGCUGUAACUCCCUUCAUAUCCAGACACUCAGGCUUCUGAGUCCCCCAUCCUCCUGGGAUGCUUGUGCUGCUCUCUGGCUCUUUCUAACAAAAGUGAUGUUCACUGGAUUGUUAUUGGCCCAGAGCUCCAGAGUUCCUGGGAUUCUGCCCUGCCCUUCCCAGUUCCCACCUAUUUCCAGUGGAGCGCCACUCCCAGCCUCGUCCUUCCCCUUCAGCCUGCAGACCCUGACCGUGGGGAGCUCCCUGGAGUGGGAGGGGGCCUCUCCCCUGCCCUGUAGCCCCGGGAGUUACACAGUGUUCUUCAAAAUUGUUCUGUGAUGAUAUGUGCUCUCUCUCUCUCUCUCACACACACACACAUACACACAGAGAAAGUGCAUAAAGCAUACAUACGGUUUAAUGAAUAAUAUUAAACAAACCAUAGAGUUAACAUCCAGAUCAAGAAAUAAAUCACUGCUAGCAUCCCCAGAACCCCCUCCCUGUUUACCUUUCCCCAUCACAGCUCCAUCCUGUCCCCAAAGGUCAUCACUAUUCUGACUUUGUGGUCAUUUCCUUGUAUCUCUCUCUCUCUCUCCUUCCCCCCUCCCUCCCCCCUCCCUCCCUCCCUUACUUCCUCCCUCCCUCCCUCCCUCCCUCUUUUUUUUGAGACUGAGUCUUACUCUGUCACCCAGGCUGGAGUGC